UGUUAAAAUUUUCAUUCAUUUUUAUUGUUUAAAACUACCAUGGUUGACAGAAUUGUCAAACAGUUACACAUGGAGUGUCAUAUGUACCUCAUAUUGAUGUGUAAGGACUAAUUUUUAACCGUAAAAAUGGAUAAAAUUUUUAACA
rfam:Gossypium hirsutum cultivar TM-1 unplaced genomic scaffold scaffold4359.1, whole genome shotgun sequence